rnacentral:lncRNA from 1 species
CGUCAUGAACAGAUGCAUACAAAGAGAAGUGAUAUCGACCACCUCUCCUUCUCUGAGAGAUUGGUCGAACAACAAGUUCUCGUAUAUCUAUCCGACGCUACUGGCUACAGAUAUACAAUAUAAGUAUCUUUUACAAUAUAAUAUCCUAAUUAAAAUUGAACCCUGCAGGGUCCACAUAGUAUUCUCCGUCUUUAGCGAUCACGUGGUCAAGAAAGAAUGCCGCCAAUUCCUCUUGAAUUCCUCGCAUACAAUCUGGUGCUAGGAGUUCAUGUCGCAUCCGAAAU